rnacentral:rRNA from 1 species
UGUCUCCGUAGGUGAACCUGCGGAGGGAUCAUUACAAGUGACCCCCGGCUCCGGCCGGGGAUGUUCAUAACCCUUUGUUGUCCGACUCUGUUGCCUCCGGGGCGACCCUGCCUUUUCACGGGCGGGGGCCCCGGGUGGACACAUCAAAACUCUUGCGUAACUUUGCAGUCUGAGUAAAUUUAAUUAAUAAAUUAAAACUUUCAACAACGGAUCUCUUGGUUCUUCAUCGAUGCAUUACUUCCUCUAAAUGACCAAG